GGGCCUGAUUGGGUAUCUUCUCCAGGGCACUCUCACUGCCGUCAGAGACUGGUUCAGAGACUACAAGAUCCCUGAUGGAAAACCUGCAAAAAAAUUUGGUCUUGGCAACAAGGCAGCAAACAAGGAUUAUGCUCUUAAGGUAAUCACCGAGACUAAUGAAUCUUGGGCUAAACUUGUGAAGAGAUCUGUUCCUCCUGGAGAGCUUUCGCUCGUGUAAAU